ACUUAAAUGCUGAUCACAAAAGCACAAAUAUACAAACCUCUCUCUUUGGCGUGGCACUCUAGGGCUGAGCGGAGCAGAAGGAAGAUCUGAAUACUGUGUUUGCUCGCUGUCCUGUAAAAGAAAGAAACGUCAAGUGAAACAGGAAGAGGCGGGUAGUUGAAGUAUCCUCCAAUCACAGCCCUUUCUAGCAUGCUGCUCUCAUCCACCUGCUUCAGCCACUGGAGAAACUGUCGGAUUGGACGUACCCCUCUGUAUGGCAUCACAGGUGACUCAAUUUCAAAACUUGACCAGGCUGCAGGAUUCUAUACCAGUCAAAACAAAGUGUGUUCCACAGCACAACACAAGCACUGGAAGUGCCAUCCGCAACCAGUAACUCUGCCUGAGGGUACGGGAGAGAUACACAGAGAAAUAACGUAAUUAAAAAGAGAAAAGAUAGAAAAGAAUGUUCAUUAGGAGACCUCUGACCUUAUAGGGACAUUCACAUUUCUGAUCUGCCUUCCCAUAAUACAUCAGUCUGGAUUUGUGCAGGAUCCGUACACACACAGCUCCAUCGAACCGCCGAGAUCCACUUAAGAAACGUCUGCGUAUUACAGCGAGUGAAAUCGUGGACCGUGUAUCUACCAAAAGUAAAGAUUCCUCCUCGGCACCAGGUUCAGAUGGGGGUGUGUCCCGCCACAUCUCUCCGUAAAAGUCCUGAUUAUUCCACAGCGGCAGGUACGAGCUUCUCCGGGCUCUGAGCGGACCUGCAUCCGGUUCUCCUCCCAUCCACGGAAUAGACCUCACAUUCACCGACGAGAGUGCCCGAAGAGCCGCAUCACCGCCGGACAGUCUGUCCACCUCCAGACUACAGACAUGAUACGUGCCGCCGUCUCCAUCGUUAUCCUCGCCGCGGCUGAACUCCACAUUCCGUAUGACGGACCCGCAGUGCAGUUUAUUCCUGCUGAUGAGUCUAUUGACAGCGGGAUCCAGCGAUACGCGGAUCUUACAAUCUCCGUCCGUGAUGGUAGCAUCAAACAGACUGUCUGACAUAGAAAUAACGUCCGGAAAACGGAUUUCGAAGUCUGGGUCUCUGCCGUAGCGUUCCAGAGAGAUCACGUACAACGGUUCCGAGUGGGUUCGCGCCCUUGGGGAGGCAGAUGUUUUGGAUGUUAACUUAUUUAGAGUCUUUUUGAGCGUGCAACACUCAGAGGAGCUACCUGACAACGCGGCCAUGUUUGCUUGACGCGGUAAACAACACACCAAUGCAUUAUGGGAGUUGUAGUUCAGAAUGAGAGCAUUUUUCCCCCACACUUUUAUUCCAGUUAGCAGUUUUAGUAAACAAUUCAACUUAAGUUUAUUUCUUUAUUUAUGUCUUGAUCACAAUAGGUCCACACCCAAACCAUGUUUUUUUGUUGUUGUUGUUUUUUGUAAAAGUGUAGCAUGGUUUUUAGCAAAACCAUGGUUUUGAAAACCCUGUUGUUGUCAAAACCAUGGUUAUUUUGUGGUUACCAUGGUUUUACUACAGUAACCAUAUUUUUUUGUUUUAACCGUAGUAAAACCAUGGUUAAUUUUCGUAAGUGCAAUUACAGAGGUAUCAAGAAACAGCUAUGUUUUUACACUUAAUUUAUACUUAUAAUGUAUUCCUAUGUGGUUGUGUUACCUGUAUUUAAAAUUAAAAUUAAAUGAGAAGUAUGUGAACUGCUAACUGUUGGCGUUUUAACAAAUAUUGCGCUCUCUAGCGAGAUUAUGCCUGUAGCAUCUAAUAGUUUGCAAGCCCGUUGGAAGAUGUAAUUAAAAAGCUAACAAUCAGAAUCAAAUUAUAUAAACUGCUAUGUAUACAAGCUUUUUUCACAGUAGUGGCCCCUAGCGGAGUCAAGAGGGAUAAGGUAUAGAGACAGACUUCAGACCAAUCUUGCAAAUGUAUGAAUUACAGAAGGUAUACUUAACUGACGUUUUGGAAAAUACGUAUUAACAAUAAGGUACAGCUUAAGGCACAACCUAAGAUCGACAUAGAGCUAAGAAGGUUUCGAGAAAUGCGUCCCAGAACAGAUAAAAUGGUUUUGUGCCGCACAUGGAACCUCACAUCAAGAAUAAACGACCAAACACUGUAAUGUGCACAAAGUACACAGUGAUGGCACAAAGGAGAUCACACCCAUAGGUACAAAGUCCACUGAACAUCAAUGGUUAUCAAUGAAUAUCAAUGGUUUAUAACUGUAAACAAUAUGACUCUCCUAUAUUUUUUUACAAUAUCCAGAUUGUACAGUAAGAUCGGAUAAUGUAUUCAUUUAAUAGCAUACUGUAAAAAGACAGUGGUUUAUAACUGUCUUUUUUUAUGUAAUCUUCAUUUGAAGUUUUACACCUAAAUGGCAUGAAUUUAAUAAAGAUGUCCCCAUCUGUUAUUUACCAACAGAAGUUUUUUUUUGUUUAAGCGCGAUUUAAGGGUCAUCUAGUAGCUACAGGUUGAGCACGGUCUGUUCACAAAUGCAGACAUUGCUCUAGAUUUAUAACUUUAUAUAUCACCAACUUCACUGAGACCUACAAAAGUCUACCAGAUACCUCUAUGCACUACACUGACUGAAGAUACCCACCUUAUUAUUUAAUUGCAUAUGCAACUCACAUUUGCAAUGAAGUCUCGAGUUUGUUUCUGUUUAAUGCUAUGACAAAUUAUGUGAGUAAAAUAACAAUUUGAUUUUCCUUGAAAAAUAUGCUUCAUUGACAGCAUGGGCUCAGGCUGAUACAAGUUUGUGCAAAACCAGAUGCUCCAUUUUAACCUAAAAUGAGUCACAUGUCUAGGGUGUUUCCCUGCCUCAACUUGAGAUAGCUGUGAUAUGCUAUCUUUUAUAGAUUUGAUUAUGUUCUAAAAGGAACAAUGAAAGAAAUUUGACCUUUGUGCUAAAGAAGUUGGCUUUUUUAGUCAAUGUCAAAUUUGUUUGCACUAUUUCAGAUGACUAAUCACAUAUGUAUAGCAGUUCUUUAAUGUAACGUUCAAUGUAAGACACUUGGCACCUGCUUUAUGUGAAUAUACUACUCUAUAUGUAAACUAAAAACCUAUGCAUUGUCAUGCACAGUUUUAUUUUUAUAGACAUUGCUGGUGUAUGACCUACUUAAAAGAAGCUAUAUAAAGAAACACACUGGGCUGUUUAUUGUGCCCUGUCCUCAGCAAGACUACCGGCUGCUGGAUGGUGAAAUACUGUACUGUUGGGUCUGUCAGAAACACUGUCAUUGCAAUAUUUUAUUAGUUCCUUAUUUAGAAGAAACAGAAAGUAAUUGCAUACUACAUUGCUUAGUCCAGUCUGACUUAUAAUGGUGAACUGUUCAUGCAAGUUUAAUCAAUUUUAGCCUGGUGGAGUUUGAAAAAUAAAAUGGCAUCCAAAAGCGUCUCGAUCACAAAAUUUUGUGUAAACAAAGUGAUGUUUUCACUUUUUAAACCAUUUGAUUGCAUUUCUAGUGAGUUUAAAGGGAUAGUUCACCCAAUAAUGAAAAUUCUGUCAUCAUUUGCUCACUCUCAUGUUGUUACCAACUUAUUCAUUUCGCUGUUCUGAUGAACACACAGGAAGGUAUUUUGAGAAAUGUUUGUAACCAAACCGUUCGUGGACCCUAUUUACUUCCAUAGGGUGAGUAAAUGAUGACAGAAUUUUUAUUUUAUGGUGAACUAUCCCUUUAAUAUAUGGGAUUAGUUAUCACAAAGGUGCUCUCUGUUUAUAUUUGAAGCUGAAUUCCUUUACGCUGCCUAUCCAGUCUGUCCGAAUAUGUUUCCCGGAGCUGCCUUCAUGCCGGCAAAGUUGUUGCCUCAUGAGGCAGCGAGGCAACAAAUCAGUUGCCUUGGUAUACCCAGUCUCAUGUAG